rnacentral:rRNA from 1 species
GACGAACGCUGGCGGCGUGCUUAACACAUGCAAGUCGAGCGGUAAGGCCCUUUCGGGGGUACACGAGCGGCGAACGGGUGAGUAACACGUGGGUGACCUGCCCUCAGCUCUGGGAUAAGCCUGGGAAACCGGGUCUAAUACUGGAUAUGACUCCAUGACGCAUGUUGUGGGGUGGAAAGCCUUGUGCGGCUGAGGAUGGGCCCGCGGCCUAUCAGCUUGUUGGUGGGGUGAGGCCUACCAAGGCGACGACGGGUAGCCGGCCUGAGAGGGCGACCGGCCACACUGGGACUGAGACACGGCCCAGACUCCUACGGGAGGCAGCAGUGGGGAAUCUUGCGCAAUGGGCGAAAGCCUGACGCAGCGACGCCGCGUGAGGGAUGACGGCCUU